GUUAUUACUGCAAUUAAUUAAUUAUUGUUAUUAUUAGCAUCACCGUCGUCGUUAUUUAGGCUUCCACCCGUCGGAGGUUCGCCGAAGAAAGAGCCCGGAGGGUCAGGAUUAAGCAGGAGCCCCCCCAGGCUGGCAUCACCAGGAGUUCCAUCCAUUCAGGGAAGGGGAGGCGGUGGGAGCCGAGCGGCCCCUCGGGACCGGGGCUGAGCCGCCGCCCUGCCCGCCGGCCUGGGUGUAAGGAGGGCUGGGUGCUGCCCCUGAGCCGCGCUCGUCUGCUGCUGGGAGUUUGUGAGACCCCCGCCCGGCUUUUGUGUGUAGAUCAGUUUCCACCCUCCUAACCGCAGAGAAAAUCUGUGAGACCAGAGCUCGAGGACAAAACCCCAAAGCAGCCCACCUUGACCCCAUCCUGCAAUCAGCACACGCAUUUUGCAGAAUCAUUUGCAUCCUAAGAUGAUUACUGAAAAUGACAUUAAGAAAAAGAAUAUGAAAAUCAGUGGACAACAGAAUUUGCCAGCUGGUCAGAAGGACCUUCGUGACGUCAGCUGGCAGAACCUUGCUGGUCGUCAGAGCUGUGUCUGACGUGGCACAAUGGAACGCCAACCUGACCUCAUCAGCUCCGAUACCUCCCCGUCCUUUGGGAAAACAGAGUUGGGAAAUCUAGCCUGUUCUAGUAACUCCUGGCAAAUGUAGGCCAACCUUUUCAGUCCAGCAGUGGCAGCUGGCCCGUCAUUAAGGCUGCGGCCUUCUUUCAGAACUGUCUCAUUAACACAGGAUAGACAGCUACUUUAUGGUGUUGUCACUGCUUUCCUCCACAUUGCUCAAAGUGUAGCUGCAGGCCUGACUUACUGAACACUAUUCCAGUCCUGCUCUGGAGAUGUGAUUGGAUUUCUUCAGGGGAUCCUCCAUUGUGCUCCACACCACAGUAUCUUCAAGUGCUUCAGAAACAGGAGACUACCGUGAGAUGAAUUAUUCCUGAUUUUUACCAUUAGGGAGCUGAGCUGCAAAGAGGUCAAGCAGAAGGACUCACUUCAGUUUGAGAAUACUUCAAGAAGUCACACUGUAAGGAGUUCAAAAACAAUUCAGUUGAAAGAAGACACUUUGUUUUCAAAAUAAAGAUGUUCUUGAAGAAGAAGUGGUGGCAUUCACGCCCUGCUCCUGUCUCCUAUCCAAGAAACAGUGCCUGAGCACAGUUAAAGUGAACAGAAGGUUGUCACUGCUCUACAUUAUCCUCUUCCCAACAGCAAGAAUAUUAGGAAGAGAAAUCAUGAACCAGGCACUCCAGUAACUGCUUUUUGAGAACCUGUGUGCAGACAGGGUGGCUGAGGAAAACACUCCAUGCAGCCAUGGAGAAACAGGCUUCCAGCUGGCUGAGAGAACAGGCUCCUCUCCCUGUGGCUUUCUUCCCCUGCUGGCACCAUCUCCAGCUUCUCUGUGCUUGAAACCAGCAACCAUGUAGCUCUGAUGUUGCAUUGCAAAGGGAUGAUUGAAAUUUUACUGUGCUAAGCCUGCAGGGCCAAACUUUGGCACCCAUCCUUGGUAAAAACAGCUACAGCCAGCCCCAUACAAGAUCAGUGUGAAGUGCAUCACAGGACCUUUUAUAAUUUGGGGGUGUCAGAGAAACAGUUUGGUGAGAGAAAAAUGCCAGUGGUCUUGGAAUCCAAAUACUUAUUAAUAAUAUGCAGUAAUACAAAAAAGAAUGAACAAUAACAGGUACAAGAAAUAUUACUAAUUUAUUGGUGGGAAUGGCAAAUCCUCUUCUUGAAGCAGUCUGGAAGAUUGAGCUGUGACAGGAAGGAAGUACUGUGCACUGAUCUUCAGAGAAAAUCUACCCUACUUUUAAAUUUCUG